UACGUAGGCAGCAAACGUUGUUCGGAAUUACUGGGCGUAAAGAGUGUGUAGGCGGUUUUGUUAGUUUGGUGUGAAAUCUCCCGGCUUAACUGGGAGGGUGCGCCGAAUACUGCAAAGCUUGAGUACUGGAGAGGAUAGCGGAAUUCCUGGUGUAGCGGUGAAAUGCGCAGAUAUCAGGAGGAACACCAAUGGCGAAGGCAGCUCGCUGGGACGUGACUGACGCUGAGACGCGAAAGCGUGGGGAGCAAACAGG
rnacentral:rRNA from 1 species